GAUGAACGCUGGCGGCGUGCCUAACACAUGCAAGUCGAACGGAGAUUACGGACGGAAGUUUUCGGAUGGAAGACUGUAAUUCUUAGUGGCGGACGGGUGAGUAACGCGUGGGCAACCUGCCCUAUACAGGGGGAUAGCAGCUGGAAACGGCUGGUAAGACCGCAUAAGUCGGUUAAAUCGCAUGAUUUGAUCGGGAAAUGAGCAAUCAGGUAUAGGAUGGGCCCGCGUCCGAUUAGCCAGUUGGCAGAGUAAAAGCCUACCAAAGCGACGAUCGGUAGCCGGACUGAGAGGUCGGACGGCCACAUUGGGACUGAGACACGGCCCAAACUCCUACGGGAGGCAGCAGUGGGGGAUAUUGCACAAUGGAGGAAACUCUGAUGCAGCGACGCCGCGUGAGUGAAGAAGUAUUUCGGUAUGUAAAGCUCUAUCAGCAGGGAAGAUGAUGACGGUACCUGACUAAGAAGCCCCGGCUAACUACGUG
rnacentral:rRNA from 1 species